GAUCGGAUAACCGCUGAAGGCAUCUAAGCGGGAAGCCGGCCCCAAGAUGAGAUCACUCACUGAGGUAAUCAGGUAAGGCGUCCCGUAGACGACGGGAUUGAUAGGCCGGGGGUGUAAGCUCUGCGAGGGGUUGAGCUGACCGGUACUAAUAGGCCGAGGCCUUAACUCC
rnacentral:rRNA from 1 species